rnacentral:rRNA from 1 species
CAGCCCACAAGGCCUUUACUGACGCUAAAGCUCGAAGGUGCGGGUAUCGAACAGGAUUAGAUACCCUGGUAGUCCGCACGGUAAACGAUGGAUGCCCGCUGUUUGCGAUAUACUGUGAGCGGCCAAGAGAAAUCGUUAAGCAUCCCACCUGGGGAGUACGCCGGCAACGGUGAAACUCAAAGGAAUUGACGGGGGCCCGCACAAGCGGAGGAACAUGUGGUUUAAUUCGAUGAUACGCGAGGAACCUUACCCGGGCUUGAACUGCAGCGGAAGGAUACAGAGAUGUUGACGUCCUUCGGGACCGCUGUGGAGGUGCUGCAUGGUUGUCGUCAGCUCGUGCCGUGAGGUGUCGGCUUAAGUGCCAUAACGAGCGCAACCCCUUUCAUUAGUUGCCAUCACUUCGGGUGGGCACUCUGGUGAUACUGCCACCGUAAGGUGUGAGGAAGGUGGGGAUGACGUCAAAUCAGCACGGCCCUUACGUCCGGGGCUACACACGUGUUACAAUGGGUGAUACAGAUGGCCGGUGCAUGGCAAUGUGCAUCAAAUCUUGAAAGUCAUCCUCAGUUCGGAUUGGGGUCUGCAACCCGACCCCAUGAAGCUG